rnacentral:rRNA from 1 species
UACAGAGGGUGCUAGCGUUGUUCGGAAUCAUUGGGCGUAAAGGGCGUGUAGGCGGUUUGUUAAGUCAUGUGUGAAAUCCCUCGGCUCAACCGGGGAACGACGCAUGAAACUGGCAAGCUAGAGUACCAAAGAGGGGGGUGGAAUUCCCGGUGUAGCGGUGAAAUGCGUAGAUAUCGGAAGGAACGCCGGUGGCGAAAGCGGCACGCUGGACCCCUUCUGACGCUGAGGCGCGAAAGCCAGGGGAGCGAACGGG